rnacentral:SRP_RNA from 1 species
GGUGUGGACGUUUUGGUAGGACCGUUGGGUCAGGGCUCUUUGUUUUGUGCAGUUCAAUUUGGUCCGCCCGUUCCAAGCUGAGCAGUGGGCCACGUGGUCCCGGGCGAAGGCCUGGGAGUCCAGUGGGUUCUGAAGUGGAGGGGACUGCGUGAGGGGCUGGUUUCACAGAGCAGCGAACACCUCCCGCUCUCAACGGUGGAAGGAUUACGGGCCAAUGCACUCUGAGCCCAACAUGGCCCACCGGCCUAUUCAAACGAACCACC